rnacentral:misc_RNA from 1 species
GGAGGAUGGAGUUCAUGGACGCGAGGAUGGCGCAGGCGAGGGCGUACUUGUUGGGGGGAGGGCGCUUCGCCGGCGCCUCGGCGGCAGGGAUGCCAUCGGAAGCGUCCUGCUUGGACAUGGCGAAACGGAGUAGAAGCACGGGCGGAGCGAGGGGUGGUGUGGCUCUCGGCACACUUGCUGUGUCCGGUGCCACUGUCUCCUUCUUAUGGCCGGUCUUCG